rfam:Madurella mycetomatis strain mm55 MMYC01_Sc2144, whole genome shotgun sequence.
AGUCCUGUGGUCUAGCGGUUAAGAUUUCGCUCUUAUACCCCUCACCAGGGUAAUGGGUAUGCGACGGUCGCGGGUUCAAUCCCCGCCAGGACUA